rnacentral:lncRNA from 1 species
GGUGGGGGAAGAUGGAUUGUCAGCCUCUGAAGUGUGUCGGCCUCCCAGGCUGGCCGUGGACGUGUGCGUCUACCUUCCGUCUGUCUUCGAGGAGUCUAUGGGUGUCUGUCUUUGUGCUUGUCCCUGGUUGCCCCCUCCCCUUGGCUGUUACUGAGGCGGAGACAAGGGUGAUGAUUGGCUUUCUGGGGAGAGAGACGUCUUGUGAUUGGUUGAAUCUCUGAAGCUUUUGAAGCUGUGAGAGGAGGCUCCCACGGAGGCUGGGUAAGCAGCCG